rnacentral:rRNA from 1 species
UACGGAGGGGGCUAGCGUUGUUCGGAAUUACUGGGCGUAAAGCGCGCGUAGGCGGACCUGCAAGUCAGGGGUGAAAUCCCGAGGCUCAACCUCGGAACUGCCUUUGAUACUGCGGGUCUCGAGUCCGGGAGAGGUGAGUGGAAUUCCUAGUGUAGAGGUGAAAUUCGUAGAUAUUAGGAAGAACACCAGUGGCGAAGGCGGCUCACUGGCCCGGUACUGACGCUGAGGCGCGAAAGCGUGGGGAGCAAACAGG